rnacentral:rRNA from 1 species
UACGGAGGGAGCUAGCGUUGUUCGGAAUUACUGGGCGUAAAGCGCACGUAGGCGGCUUUGUAAGUUAGAGGUGAAAGCCCGGGGCUCAACCCCGGAACUGCCUUUAAGACUGCAUCGCUUGAAUCCAGGAGAGGUGAGUGGAAUUCCGAGUGUAGAGGUGAAAUUCGUAGAUAUUCGGAAGAACACCAGUGGCGAAGGCGGCUCACUGGACUGGUAUUGACGCUGAGGUGGCGAAAGCGUGGGGAGCAAACAGG